rnacentral:rRNA from 1 species
GUGGGGAAUCUUGCGCAAUGGGCGAAAGCCUGACGCAGCGACGCCGCGUGAGUGAUGAAGGCCUUCGGGUUGUAAAGCUCUGUGGAGAGGGACGAAUAAGUGUUGGCUAACAUCCAGCAUGAUGACGGUACCUUUUUAGCAAGCACCGGCUAACUCUGUGCCAGCAGCCGCGGUAAGACAGAGGGUGCAAACGUUGUUCGGAAUUACUGGGCGUAAAGCGCGUGUAGGCUGCUCUGAAAGUCGGAUGUGAAAGCCCUGGGCUCAACCUAGGAAGUGCACUCGAAACUUCAGAGCUCGAGUCCUGGAGAGGAAGGCGGAAUUCUCGGUGUAGAGGUGAAAUUCGUAGAUAUCGAGAGGAACACCGGUGGCGAAGGCGGCCUUCUGGACAGUGACUGACGCUGAGACGCGAAAGCGUGGGGAGCAAACAGGAUUAGAAACCCCAGUAGUCC